AUUGAAGAUAAGAUGAAAAAGUAAAUGACGUCUAAAUCUUUAUGACUCUUACAUAAUGGGCUGUUAAUGUAAUACAAUAGAAAUUUACAAAAAGAAGCUACUUUAUAAAACGUGGCAAAUCUAUAAAAAUUUUUUUAGUUCGGAUUAUAAUUUGCAACUCAGUUAUAUGAAGUAGGAAUGAAUAGUAAUG
rnacentral:rRNA from 1 species